rnacentral:rRNA from 1 species
GGUUAAGCGAAUAAGCGUACACGGUGGAUGCCUAGGCAAUCAGAGGCGAUGAAGGACGUGCUAAUCUGCGAAAAGCGUCGGUAAGGUGAUAUGAACCGUUAUACCCGACGAUAUCCGAAUGGGGAAACCCAGUAUCCAAUGGAUACUAUCAUUAACUGAAUCCAUAGGUUAAUGAGGCGAACCGGGAGAACUGAAACAUCUCAGUACCCCGAGGAAAAGAAAUCAACCGAGAUUCCCCUAGUAGCGGCGAGCGAACGGGGAGCAGCCCAGAGUCUUAAUCAAUAGCAGUGUCAGGAGAACGGUCUGGAAAGUCCGGCAGUAAAGGGUGAUAGCCCCGUAUCUGAAGAUGCUGUUAUUGUGAACUCGACGAGUAGGGCGGGACACGUGUUAUCCUGUCUGAAUAUGGGGGGACCAUCCUCCAAGGCUAAAUACUCCUGAUUGACCGAUAGUGAACCAGUACCGUGAGGGAAAGGCGAAAAGAACCCCGGCGAGGGGAGUGAAAAAGAACCUGAAACCGUGUACGUACAAGCAGUAGGAGCCUCUUUAUGGGGUGACUGCGUACCUUUUGUAUAAUGGGUCAGCGACUUAUAUUCUGUAGCAAGGUUAACCGUAUAGGGGAGCCGUAGGGAAACCGAGUCUUAACUGGGCGAAUGAGUUGCAGGGUAUAGACCCGAAACCCGGUGAUCUAUCCAUGGGCAGGUUGAAGGUUGGGUAACACUAACUGGAGGACCGAACCGACUAAUGUUGAAAAAUUAGCGGAUGACUUGUGGAUGGGGGUGAAAGGCCAAUCAAACCGGGAGAUAGCUGGUUCUCCCCGAAAGCUAUUUAGGUAGCGCCUCGUGAACUCAUCUUCGGGGGUAGAGCACUGUUUCGACUAGGGGGUCAUCCCGACUUACCAACUCGAUGCAAACUGCGAAUACCGAAGAAUGUUAUCACGGGAGACACACGGCGGGUGCUAACGUCCGUCGUGAAGAGGGAAACAACCCAGACCGCCAGCUAAGGUCCCAAAGUCAUGGUUAAGUGGGAAACGAAGUGGGAAGGCUCAGACAGCCAGGAUGUUGGCUUAGAAGCAGCCAUCAUUUAAAGAAAGCGUAAUAGCUCACUGGUCGAGUCGGCCCGCGCGGAAGAUGUAACGGGGCUAAACCAUGCACCGAAGCUGCGGCAGCGACACAAAGUGUUGUUGGGUAGGGGAGCGUUCUGUAAGCCUGCGAAGGUGUACUGUGAGGUAUGCUGGAGGUAUCAGAAGUGCGAAUGCUGACAUAAGUAACGAUAAUGCGGGUGAAAAACCCGCACGCCGGAAGACCAAGGGUUCCUGUCCAACGUUAAUCGGGGCAGGGUGAGUCGACCCCUAAGGCGAGGCUGAAAAGCGUAGUCGAUGGGAAACGGGUUAAUAUUCCCGUACUGGUGGUAACUGCGAUGGGGGAACGGAGAAGGCUAGGUUGUCCGGGCGACGGUCGUCCCGGUUCAAGCAGGUAGGCAGAGUGAUUAGGCAAAUCCGGUCACUUAAUGCUGAGAUGUGAUGACGAACCACCAAGGUGGUGAAGCAAUUGAUGCCCCGCUUCCAGGAAAAGCCUCUAAGCUUCAGGUUACCAACAAUCGUACCCCAAACCGACACAGGUGGUCAGGUAGAGAAUACUCAGGCGCUUGAGAGAACUCGGGUGAAGGAACUAGGCAAAAUGGUGCCGUAACUUCGGGAGAAGGCACGCUGGCGGUAGGUAAAGUCCCUCGCGGACGGCGCUGAAGCCAGUCGAAGAUACCAGCUGGCUGCAACUGUUUAUUAAAAACACAGCACUGUGCAAACACGAAAGUGGACGUAUACGGUGUGACGCCUGCCCGGUGCUGGAAGGUUAAUUGAUGGGGUCAGCCGUAAGGCGAAGCUCCUGAUCGAAGCCCCAGUAAACGGCGGCCGUAACUAUAACGGUCCUAAGGUAGCGAAAUUCCUUGUCGGGUAAGUUCCGACCUGCACGAAUGGCGUAAUGAUGGCCAGGCUGUCUCCACCCGAGACUCAGUGAAAUUGAACUCGCUGUGAAGAUGCAGUGUACCCGCGGCAAGACGGAAAGACCCCGUGAACCUUUACUAUAGCUUGACACUGAACAUUGAGCCUUGAUGUGUAGGAUAGGUGGGAGGCUUUGAAGUGUGGACGCCAGUCUGCAUGGAGCCAACCUUGAAAUACCACCCUUUAACGUUUGAUGUUCUAACCUAGGCCCAUAAACUGGGUCGGGGACCGUGUCUGGUGGGUAGUUUGACUGGGGCGGUCUCCUCCUAAAGAGUAACGGAGGAGCACGAAGGUUGGCUAAGCAUGGUCGGACAUCAUGCGGUUAGUGCAAAGGCAUAAGCCAGCUUGACUGCGAGAGUGACGGCUCGAGCAGGUACGAAAGUAGGUCUUAGUGAUCCGGUGGUUCUGAAUGGAAGGGCCAUCGCUCAACGGAUAAAAGGUACUCCGGGGAUAACAGGCUGAUACCGCCCAAGAGUUCAUAUCGACGGCGGUGUUUGGCACCUCGAUGUCGGCUCAUCACAUCCUGGGGCUGAAGUAGGUCCCAAGGGUAUGGCUGUUCGCCAUUUAAAGUGGUACGCGAGCUGGGUUUAGAACGUCGUGAGACAGUUCGGUCCCUAUCUGCCGUGGGCGUUGGAAGAUUGAGAGGGGUUGCUCCUAGUACGAGAGGACCGGAGUGAACGCACCACUGGUGUUCGGGUUGUCAUGCCAAUGGCAUUGCCCGGUAGCUAAGUGCGGAAGAGAUAACCGCUGAAAGCAUCUAAGCGGGAAACUUGCCUCGAGAUGAGUCUUCCCUGUCGCUUUAAGUGACCUAAAGGAACGUUUAAGACUAAGACGUUGAUAGGCUGGGUGUGUAAGCGUAGCGAUACGUUGAGCUAACCAGUACUAAUGAACCGUGAGGCUUAACCUG